AGCUCAUAAGGGUCAGUGAUUUACAAAUGCAUUUCAGUGUAUUUCAAUGUGUACUGCAACUUUCUAGUCCCCUCAAGAUGGAGGAAAAGUUGAUAUUUGGUAUGGUUUUGUACAACAUUUGAAAUGAGCUGAUAUGCAGGAGCACAUAGGGACUUCAAUGAUACUCUCUGAUGCCUUGUAAUUCACUUAAUUUGCAGUGCUUCUAUGUUACCAAAAUUUUAAAAAAUGUAUAGAAGUUCCCUCCACCCACAAACGCUUGAAUUUUGCAGCUGUGGUUAAAAUAGUGACCAGAUAGUGAAUGCAAUUGCUCUUGCUUUUUAGCAAGAGCAGCUGCCUGUCUGUGCAGUUGGCCAAGGCAGCCGGCGAGCAGGUUUUGUGAACUUGCAUCUUAAACCUUCAGAGGCAGGGGUCGCAAGCCUGGUUAGCGCUACCCAACUGCUCCCCCUUGUGCUGGCUGCUGGGCGCUUCGUUCACGCACCUUCCUGUUCCUAGGCUUCGUCUGGAGGUAUCCCUUGGUACUUCUAAAGAAGUGUCAAUGAACCAUGAAUUAAAGAGUCUCCUAAAUAGGUCCUGACAAGACUGCUACUUCUGUAAAAGAGCCAUUACCAUCCUUCAGGUUAGCGACUUGCUAACAACGAAUCCCCAAGGAAGUGGUCUGACAUGGCUGCAAGUGCAAGGCUUGGUGAAGAAUAUAAAAAUACAAAUGACCAUUACUGAAUAAUGAUAAGGUACACCUGUGGUCAUCUCUGCUGGGGGAAGAUGGGGGCUAGCAGAAUUUGAAUGUGGAAGAGCAGAGUGCUUCAAUGGGUGGAGGAGGUCAACUGUUUCGAGUAAGCUGAAACGCCUGUCUUGGAUUUUGUUAGCUCAGGACUGAUAGCCCAUCCUAUUUUAACAGGUGUUGUACUGUCUUUACAGGCAGUGGAAGCAAUGACCAGGCCAUAUUUCUGUCACAAGAACCAGUCAAGUGUCAUCUUAUGUCAUUUGUUGAUAGUGUAACAUACCACGUGGCAGUGCUGACCUGGGUAAUAUUUCACUGAGUUGUGUAUCUUCUUUUCUGGAGCUCACUCUGUAAAAUAGGUAUCCCACUAAAGGAACCUGCUCUGAAGAAUUCCUUCACUGUGCAGUCUUUCAGGACCAUGUGUUGUGGACUUGAUACCAAUUUGCUAACUUCAUCAGUGGUGGGAUUCAUGCUGACCAGAGUUUGUAUCAUGCUUCUCCGCCUUCGUCAGAAUCAAAUGGUCGUAGUGGGGAGAAGAUGGUUCACACUGGAGUGGGCUAUUGACUCCAUUGCGUCCAUAUGCACUCUUUUACUCUGCUUCCCAGAUGAGGAUGGGGACAAAGAAAUAGUCUUGCCUACAGGCUCCCAGAAGUGGACUGCAAACCUCACGUUUUAUACUGGAUGUGCAACCAUCUUCUGUGUUUGCUGAAAAUGGCAGGCCCAACACAAAUGGCACGGAGGACAGGGGUCCCACUCAUCUUCUUAGCCCAUCUGCACUCCCUUCAUGCAGCCCUUGGCUGCUGCACCAGGACUGUGCCGUGCUUCUCCAAAACCAAACUUAGUCCUAAUUAGCAACCUGACUUCUGCUAAGCGCACAGGAGGCAGAGGCGCUGACAGCAGGCAGCUGUCCCAGUGCAACGAGCAGCGUGGAAGCAAGCACGGCGCUACCACAGCGGACAGAGCUGUCACGAGUGGAAAACCUGCAGGGAGACGGCUUCGACUGGGAAAGAGCUGCGGGGAAGGGCAGGGGGACGCGGCCUCAGUCGGCCGGGUGCCCGCAGGAAAGCGACAAGGCAGGGAAGCGGCGCUGCCGGCCAGCAGGUCCCGAGCGAGGAGGAGGAGGAGGAGGAGGAGAAAAGCACCCAGGAGGGAAGCUCCCAGGAGGGAAGCACCCAGGGCUCGGGACCUGUGCAGCCGGAGCGAGGGGGCGCCCCCCGCCGCGUCCCGCCCCGCUCCGCUCCCUCCCCUGCCACGUUCCCAGCGCCCCGCCGGGGCUCUCCGCCUCACCCCAGCCUCUCGCGGCUCUCCUCGGGGCUGAGCUGGUCGAAGCUCCGCGCCUCCUCCUUGCCCAGGAAGGCCUCGUGGUCGUACUGGAAGCCCGGGCCGUCCUCGUGGUGCUGCUGCUGCUGCUGCGCGGCGCCGGGACGGGCCCGCUCCUGCCGCACUGUCGGCUUGCCCAGGCCGCCCGGCACCAGCAGGAGCAGUAGCAGAGGCAGCAGCAGAGGCAGCAGGAGCCAUCCCGGCCCGCCGGCCAUGCCCCGCGGCCGCCCCGCAGCCCCGCUCAUCGCCACGGCCCGGCCCGGCCCCGCCUCUCCCCGGCCGCUCCCCGGCACGGCCCCGCCGGCGCCACGUCUGCAGGGCGGAGCGCGGGGGGGGAACAGCCCGGGGCCGGCAGCUCCCCGACCAUCUCCCUUAGGAAUGCACAAAACCGCUUUGAUUUUUGAGUUUUCUCCCCAAAAUGGGCAACGGAAAAGCUACAAGUUAAAAAAAAAAAAAAAAAAAAAAAAAAAAAAAAAGAAAAAAAAGUGGCUAUGUAGUGAGUGCUGGAAAUUGAAGGAGAAAAACCCAAGUUUUUUGGCACAGAAAAAAAAGCAUUUGCUUUUUUUCCAUCGAUUGCAAUUCAUUUUGCUCAAGGUUGUAGAAGCAGAGACUUCAGGUUGCAGUAACUGACAUUUUCACCGAGUAAAUUUCCUUUUCCUACACCGUAGCCCGAAAUUCACAACCGGGGAGAAUUGCUUGUUGCUGGUUAAUGACCUUGUGUGCUGUCUGACCCAGCGUGGCAGAUGAGCGUUGCUACCAGAGCCCGGCCAUUCUUCGGCACGCAGACCUGAGAGAAUUACUGGUUGCAACAUGAGAUUUGUUAGCCCAGUCCACUGGACAGAAAAAUCGUACUUAUGCCGGGCCAUUGGGUGUGCCACGACCGUGCAAGUUGCUGAACCAGGCUGUGGCCUCCCUGCCGCUGUCGUUACCCCGGUGGACAUCCUUUUGACCUACAGGUGUGAGGCUGUGAUGAGGUGCUCAGUUUUCACCUUCUUGAUCCACAUGGCGCUAGAGUAUGCAGCUAGUCAAGAGGGAAAUCAAUUGCAUGGAUAACAGAUGAAAGUCUACUGUUGUCAGGACUGUCACUGGUACUGGAAUGAGUUUUCUCUACCUUUUUUGGGGGUGGCUCUCUGCAGUUUGUCAUGCACAGUGCUACUUGGACCUUCAGUGCCCAAGUGAACAUUCGGAGUGCAGAACAGCCGAAUUGCUUCAAGAGCAAGAAGGUCGUCGGAGCAGGGCACUACAUCAAUUACUUCUGUAUCACGAUGAUGGAUACUGUGAAAACUGAGAGGCAAUGCAGGGAUUUUUUUGCGGUGCUAUUUGGAAGCAUUUAAAAACUCCUCUCUGUGUACUUAUUGCUGGUCUGCUGUAUUCAAGCAAUGCUUUUAAACACCAGCAUCCAGCUACACAUGGGGACUGUGUGAACAUUAUUUUAUCCAUUGUGCUAUCUGCUUCCUUUUAGUGAGAUGAAACGAUGCCAUGUUUCACAUACUGUUCCUUCCCAUGACAGCAGCCACAGGGCUCAGGAAACUGCUCAGAGCAGCGUGGGCUGUCUCCAGCAAGCGCUCCCAUCUGGGGAGGCACUUGGGAAGCAGAGGGAGGCAGGUGUGCAGCUGCCAGCCCCCAAUCCCCACGGGGAAAACUCUGCAUUCCCAGCAAAAGGAACCUCCUGGCAUGCUCUCCCAUCUCAGGGGUCUGCUUGGCCUUUUGCUGACAGCAUAAUUUUUUUAAGGAGUCUCAGAGUCUGACAUCUCUGUUCGCGACCCUUUUUUCCUAAGCAAUAUUAAUAACUGCUGCGGGUCUGGCAGGUGCAACGUCCGCUAAUUGUGUCUGCAUCGCCAGGCCUUAUCCUAACAGCCCUCUAACAUCUGCAUUCCUACCUGGGCAACGAAGAAACAUCCAUUUAUCCUAGACAGAGUGUGCUGCUCACUCACCAGCUCUUGGCCAACAACUCCCCAUCAAGAAGAAACAUAUAGUUAGGAAAUUUGCCUAAGCCAUCACAGACCUGGAAAAACUCACUGGCGUGUCUGAUGGAACUGAAUAGAAUUUACCAGUUUGAGUUAUGGCUUACAUUACAAGCACACCUGAAGUACCUUUCUAAGAUGAACCAAGAGACAUCUUCCUUGAAGAGGUAGGAAUAGUUGCUAUCCACUUGUCUGACAUGGCCAUGCUCACCGAGGGGGUAGAAGACAACACGGUGGGAAUCCACAGUGAGCAGACACUGAGCCAGGUGGAGGUAAGUCUGGGCUGAUGAGCUGCUGUAUGGGUGAACUUCCCAUCCCUCGCAGGCCAGUGAAGCGUGCCUAAUGUGACACUGCUUACUCAUCCCUGGUGCUGGGUACUUACUCCCUUUCUUUUUGUGAAAUGAAAUGAGAUUCUGAGAGCACGUUUUCUUUGUGAAAAACAAAACAAAAACAAACAAACAAAAAACCUCCCUGUGGUCUCUACCACAACUAGCCACUAAAUUAAGUAGCCAUUUGAAAUAUUAAUAUAUUAAUUACAGAUAAUCGGUACUAGAUUUGUCUCCCUACUGGUUCUCUCUACCAGCAAAUGCUGAAAAGCUUCUGAAAUCUCAUGUUAUUCUUGAUGUCACAAGUAUAUGGAUUUUAAAGUCAGGAAAAGCUACAGAAUCUUCAGGAAAGUAGACAGAUAAAUCUCAUAGUUGACAAUUUUGAGAUUUUUCUUACCCAAGACUUAAAAUUCUCAUCACUUGCAUUUAAAUGAGGUAGUAUAGAUCAUUUGGAUUGUGAACUAAUGAGUGUUGUAAGACUGAAAGGAAUUGACCUCCUGAGCACCCUGGUUUUGCUGAAGAAUGAAGUUAGACCUGAAGUAUAGCUCCUAGGUCUUUUGUUUUUUGUUUGUUUUACUAUUUUUCUUUGUCAUUAAUGAAACCAAUAUGACGUAAUAAAAUUGAGAUUCGAUAGUGAAACACAAGAGUGAAGGAAAAUUUAUAUGUAUAACCACACCAUAACAAUUGGGUCUUUUUCUUUUAAUUCUGUUUCAGUUGCUACACAAGUUCCCAGGUUAGAGGUAAAUAUUUUAUGACAUGUCAGAACUCAGCUUGAUGCUUUUUCAGAGCUGUAUAGAACAGGUUCCAGCUCUAAAAUGUCUCCAGCCAAAAGCCUGAGAUCUGAUCUCAAUCAGGCCAUGAGCCUUGGAUCUUGAAAAUUAGCAGGAAAACCUGCAGGAACGGGUGAGAUUUCUUUUUGAGAUUUCUAGUGCCCCCAGACAUUUACUGGAAAUAAUUCAAAAACUUUCUAGUUUCUAGGAGGAAAACUUUUCUAGCAAAUAAAGUUAGAACAUUUCUGAGCUGUCAAUCUUAUUUCUGAUUCACACAUUCACACUGAGUCAAGUAAUUCCUUAUGUUUAAGCUCAGGCCCUAGUCCAGCUCUUCGAACAGUGAGUGCUGCACCACCUCACAGCCCCUCAUGCUUGCUGCUGCUAUCCCAAAUCUCUUGGAAAAGGGCAAAGUGAUUCUUGGGUCUGUCCUAGGGUGUAUAGUCCUAAAUCUGUACUUCUGAAGUAUGAAGCCCCCACUGCAAGGUGGCAGUCGUAAGUGCCAAUAGGUUGUGUUUUGUUGUUUUUGUUUUCUGAAACUCUCCGCUUCCUCUUUCUUUGGUGGAGGAAGUGGUUGUGUGCAAGUAUUAGUCAACAUAUCUCUGUUUAUUAUUGUUAUUAUUUUGGCAGAGGUUGGUCUGUGUUUCACUCCCACCUGGGUGUGGAGAUGUCAGUCCGAUGAUUUGUCCUCUGAAACUGAACCAAACCCUCUGAUAAAUGCUACAGCUAUGGGGAAGAAGUUCCCUGGCUGGUCAGAAGUUUUGGAGAAGUUUAACUCAGGUGAAUCUGCUGGCCAAGAAGUGCAGUGCACUUCUCCUAAGUUUUUCUGACAAUUAAGAAGAGGCCCUGUUCACUGAGGUCAUCCCUGAACAAGCAGAGGAUGAGAGCAAAACCACCAAAUGCUUGCUUCCCCAAAACUACUGUGUAAACAUUCCCACGCCCAAGACAUACCUUUCCAUCUGGUCUCACGUUUUUUUUUUCUAAGGGCGGUUUCUUUCUUCUCUAAUUAUUUUUUCACAAAUCAAAGGAAGACAUUAUACAGUCAGAGAGCAUUAAUCACCUUACAUAACUUCACAGUAGUGAAAAGUAAAGACAACACACAAUAAGUAAUAAAACAAAUAAGGUUUGAUGAUGUGUGUGUGGAAAGAACUGCAAGGCAGAGAAAUUGCUCUGGAUGUGUCACCGCUUUCUCAGGUGUAUCAUGGAAGUAUAAGGGAAGCCCUCUCACCUCAAUGUUGUCUGAAGCAUCUGAGCUGUAAUCCAUCUAAAAUCUAGCAGAAUAACCAUUUAUAUAUCACUAGAAAUGUAUUGCUUUGUACAUAAAGAUUUGAGAGGUAAAUGAAGCAGGGAAAAGCAGUAAAAAGUCUUUAAGAAAUGAACUGCUAAGCACAUGCUUCCCACCCAGCAUGGCUUUCAUGCCAACACCACUUUUAAUAAGACUUCGCUGGAACACAGGAGCAGCCAUAAAGGUUCAGAGCAAGGCUUAUCUCAGCAUCCUGUCUCCAGCAGUGGCCAUAACAAGUGCCUGGGGUAGAGUAGGAGCAGGGUAUGCAUAUAUGAUGCUUCUACUUGACAUUACUUUCCUCCUGGAGACUGGUUUUGAUUCAAGUGCUCCCCCGAGUCUAAUGCAAUUUGUCUAAGUGCUCUCAAUAGGGCUCUUUCAAGUUCUUGUUCAUUCUGCUCUUAAAUAUAUGUAAACUUUCUAAACCCACAACAUCUGCUGGCAAGGAGAUCCAUAGGAUGAGCAGAAACUUUUCUCUCUUUUGGAAAAACAAAACAACACAAAACAAAAUUCAAGCUGUCUGGAGACUUCCUUUGAUAACUUCUGAAAGAAGAAUUGUUGUGAACAGUUUCAAUAGGACACCUAACUCUUAACUGACAAACAAUAUUGCAAAAAUCACACAGGGUUUCUUUUUUUCAUUUCAUUUCAGUAUUGAUACGUCACCAAAUAUAUAUCCUUAGGUUUCACCUGUGUCUUGAAUGAGAAAUGUCAAUGGAUUCCAGACAUGUUAGUAGCUCACUAAAUAUUAGUAGCGUUAUUAUAAAACACCCAGAUUACUGGUGGGUCUAGAUACACAUUUUAAAGAAGACCCACUCCCUUUUGAAAUUGCCUGUCAUUUGAAUACAACAUUUUUGCUUAGGUACAGAAAAGAACUCACUGUUUGGCUUUUUUUUUUUUUCUUAUUUUCUUUUUUUUUUCCUGGUGUAGCAUACCAGGAAGCCAUGUGUUGUCUGUGUAGUGAGGAACCCAUCACAAAGUUUGUAUCUGGAGCUGAGCCUCAGCCUGUCUGUGGUUGGUGUGGUGUUUGUUUUGGGGGGUAGAUCCUUUCCCAAAGGCAGGCAGAGACACAAGGGGUUUCAAUCAAGGGUAAUUUCAUAUAAAACUGACAGGUUCGUAUAGGUUUCUGCUUAGCAUUUUCCCAUCUCACAUGAGGACUAUUUAUUGGGACUCAAGGAUGUCAAGUGAUCAGCCAACUGCAGUUUGGAAAUUACAGCAAUUUGCAAAAGUCCAAAUUCUUGUUUAACAUCAGAUUUGAUGCUUCCCAGCACUGGCGAGUGCCUGGUUAGGCCUUCAGCAGGCAGUAUAUGGCAAUAGGUCUUCAUCAGCAAGUGUGAUGAAGUUAGUGCUGUUCAGCCAGAGACAGGAGCUCGUGGCUCCUGAAACCCAAUUAACUGAAAAUAUGCCUUGCGCAUUUCUAAUAAGGGAGGGAAAUGGUGCCACUAGACACUGGCCUCAGCUCCCUAGCUGGGAGUGUGUUGGGAGGCGCAGACAAAUUUGUUGGUGCUUCACAGUGACGAAGGCAAAUAAGGUUAUUGAGUUGGUGGUCUGUGAAAAAGGAAUAGAACUAGAUUUGGUCCAGAAGUUAGAACAAUACAUGGAUGAAACAUUUUAGGUGCUGAUACAAAACACGUUUAGCUUUGUAUUUAUUUUUUGUAUAUAAAACAAAUUGUAGAUCUUCCAUAUGUGAUUGUGCUCACCUGUUUUGCUUCACAUUCAAGGAGCUUUGUGAAGAAUUAAGGAGUGUGACCAUGAUUCUUACUGAGACAAGAGUAAGUGCCUUGUCAUUGAGCAAUCUAAUUAUUGACUUGCAAUUGUAUCAGAAUAUUCCCACAUAUUCAAAUUAAUAGGGGCUUAUAAAACUUCCUGUUGUAGCCAUGUAUUUGUAGCAUUUGCCUCCAAAGUGCUAUCAAUAGCUCUUCCCUUGCUCUGUUAUUUGGUGCUUUGAUUAGAGCCGGACAAAUGCUCCAGCAAGUGUCAAGCCUUACUGCUUCUCUGCUCUUUUUGGAACUAUUGUGAAAUUGGUCCUAAUGCUAAAGAGAGAGUACAACACACUAAACCACAGGCAUGUAGGAACAGCACAAUGUGUUGUCAGCUAUGGGAAAGACAGAAAGCCUAUUUUCAAAACCUUGUGAAUAGGUUAAUGCUGUUGCUAGGAAAAGAUUUGCCCUUUUACACAUCUGAAGGAAGGUAAUGUUGACAGUAAGGAGUAGAGGACUAGCAAGAUUUUAAGUUUUUGUGUGACUUUUAUUUCUGAGAAAGAAAGGGCAUUGGCAACAACAGCUGCCUGUAGCACAGCUUUCCCUCCUAUUUUUUUUUUUUUUUUUACACUUGACUUCUAAUAUGGAUUCCAGGCAUGAUUCAGCAAACAGGGUGAAGAAGAUUUUUACAGACAUGGACUGGCACAGUAUUAGAUAAAAAGAAAAAAAAAAAAAAAGGAAAACAAAACAAAAGAAAAAACUCUGGAAUAGUAUAAUGGGCUUUCUUUAUCCAAUGCAUAUAAAAUAUGGAUCUAAACAAACACGCAUAAACCUUAAUUUAGAGGAGUUUUAUUGGGUUUUAUUGGGCUCUUGUUUUAAGUGCAGAGACAUUUGCUGGGAAGGCAGAUAUGGUGUAAUGAGGCUCGCUGGGCUAACUCAGGGAGGCUCCAAACUCACCUCUAGGCUCAAAAUGAAAAUUACAAAAUCACUAAUGCGCAUUAUCUGGAGGUUCAUUUUGCUGUUAUUUGAGUACAUGACCAAGAAACAGAGAAUGAUUUUUGUGAUCAAGAAAUGCCAGAAAUGGCACUGACAGCUGCAGUACUUUUUGCCUCUAUCUUAAAUGCUCCCUUUCUAAAUCUGGGACAACAUUUUUAAACAUGAGAAACAGAUUUUUAAAGACAACACUAAAACCUCAGGAGUUCUUCUAGCUUAUCCUCAUGCCUCAAGAAAAGACAAUCCUUUCUAAACUGUGUAUGCUAUAUUGAAACACGUGUUUACACAAACUAUUCACCUUAGGUGGGCAACUAUGAGCGUCCUGUUAUGUACUAAAAUUGAAUGCACACUGGGCAAAUGUAAGUACAUAAAGAUGGGGGAAAAAAGAAAAACACAAAAGAAGGAAAGGAAAGGAAAGAAAGGAAGGGAGAGAGAGA